rnacentral:misc_RNA from 1 species
GAUGAAGAACGUAGCGAAAUGCGAUACUUGGUGUGAAUUGCAGAAUCCCGUGAACCAUCGAGUCUUUGAACGCAAGUUGCGCCUCAAGCCAUUAGGUUGAGGGCACGUCUGCCUGGGCGUCACAUAUCGUUGCCUGAUGCCAGUUUCCUCGUGAUGGGUGACUGUGCAGGGCGAAUGAUGGCUCCCCGUGAGCAUUGUUGCCUCAUGGUUGGUUGAAAAUUGAGUCCUUGGUAGGGAGCGCCGUGAUAGAUGGUGGUUGAGUGACGAACGAGACCCAAUCAUGUGAGACCCCUACCGAAUUUGGCCUUCAUGACCCACAUGCGUCUUUGGAACGCUCAUGACGAGACCUCAGGUCAGGCGGGGCUACCCGCUGAGUUUAAGCAUAUCAAUAAGCGGAGGA